rnacentral:rRNA from 1 species
AGACAGGUGCUGCAUGGCUGUCGUCAGCUCGUGUUGUGAAAUGUUGGGUUAAGUCCCGCAACGAGCGCAACCCUUAUCCUUUGUUGCCAGCGGUUAGGCCGGGAACUCAAAGGAGACUGCCAGUGAUAAACUGGAGGAAGGUGGGGAUGACGUCAAGUCAUCAUGGCCCUUACGAGUAGGGCUACACACGUGCUACAAUGGCGCAUACAAAGAGAAGCGACCUCGCGAGAGCAAGCGGACCUCAUAAAGUGCGUCGUAGUCCGGAUUGGAGUCUGCAACUCGACUCCAUGAAGUCGGAAUCGCUAGUAAUCGUGGAUCAGAAUGCCACGGUGAAUACGUUCCCGGGCCUUGUACACACCGCCCGUCACACCAUGGGAGUGGGUUGCAAAAGAAGUAGGUAGCUUAACCUUCGGGAGGGCGCUUACCACUUUGUGAUUCAUGACUGGGGUGAAGUCGUAACAAGGUAACCGUAGGGGAACCUGCGGUUGGAUCAC